rnacentral:lncRNA from 1 species
CUGCUUGUAAGUGAGGUCACUAGUACAGUGUACGCUACAGUGUGCUAGAGUGCAGUGGCAGUACUUACACCUGACAGGCCACUGCACAUGCAAAACAGUUGACAAAAGAGCAUGCAAUAAAUAAUAACGUUUUGUAGCCUUACAUAUACUAGUACCUAGAAUGUUCUGGAAGUAAUAUAUUAUGUCUUUUUUUCUUUUCUAUUUGUUUUAAUGAUCGUCAGUACCCUCAGGCAGCCCUAGACAGUAAAAGAAGCACUCAGCCCGUUUGAUCAGAACAAACCCGUCUCCCACAACGAGUGGUGGAGGUCUACAUGAAGGCGGGGUUAACUUCUGACGCAAGAUUUUGAAAUCGCGCGUUCGCGCAGGGUGUGUUUUUGUGUUUGCAUUCACAGUGUGGGUAUGAUAUUAAAACGACUGUGCUAUUAACGUUGUGUUCUUUCGAUCAAUUUUAGUUAUUUGUCGUCGCCUGUCAUAGACACUACUGCGUUCGUUCAUACGCUCCCAAGAUACAAUCAAGGCGUGUCUUCUUUUUAUGGGCUCCUCAUAACGUCGAGCGACCGGGGACUGAAACAAGGAACCUGUGCUGUCUCCGUUCAGUGAGUGAGCCACCCGCUGUCCCGCAGAGAGUAGAUCGUCUCCCUUUGAUCGUUUGGGGGAAUAUCAGGUAGGAUGGCUCCCAAAGACCCACGGGAUCAGACAUACACCAUAAUCUCCUUCCUCUUUGAUGAUGGUUGCAUUGAAACAGAUGGCCCCGGUGACGAUGAAGGAUUGGCCAAGAUUGGUGCCAAGCUCAGGGAGAUCGGUGAUGACUUUGAUGAGAAGAGGAUCCAGCCCCUGAUUCAGGACCUUCAAAAAGCAUCGUCUGAACAGCAGGUGGCGGCGGUGUUCGGCAGCUGUGUGGACACCCUGUGCCAGUCAUGGGUGGCGCAGCGAUCCGAGGUGGCACCGGAGAUGAACAUGCUAAAAGCGUCAGUGGCCUUGGGGCUCUACGUGAAGAAGAACUGCCCAGACAUGGUGCCCUUCGUACACAGCGCCAUGACUAACUUCCUCAACACGCGCCUCGGGAACUGGGUGACUUCACAAGGAGGCUGGGACAACGCUGUCUCCUGCUAGAGGCAGCUCGGCUGGGAAAGUCCAUACUGAGUUGGCCUGUCAAUCAAGACCUCACCACAUCCUACACUGUCAAUCAAGACCGCACCACAUCCUACACCUGUCAAUCAAGACCUCACCACAUCCCCUCUGGAACACACACACCUGUCAAUCAAGCCCUCACCACAUCCCCUCUGGAACACACACACCUGUCAAUCAAGACCUCACCACAUCCCCUCUGGAACACACACACCUGUCAAUCAGGACCUCACCACAUCCCCUCUGGAACACACACACCUGUCAAUCAAGACCUCACCACAUCCCCUCUGGAACACACACACCUGUCAAUCAGGACCUCACCACAUCCCCUCUGGAACACACACACCUGUCAAUCAGGACCUCACCACCUCCCCUCUGGAACACACACACCUGUCAAUCAGGACUGUUGGCUAUAAAGCCAUGGAAACCAUCAGGUCGCUCAGUGCCAUCUCCUCAGAAUAACAGUCCCAUGAUGCCCUGGGCUUUAUAUUAACAGUCCCGUGAUGCCCUGGGCUUAAUAUUAAUACAGUCUGUAGUGGAGCCGAGGGCCAACACUGUAGUAGUAGUAGUAGCAGUAGUAGUAGUAGUAGCAGCAUUAGUAGUAAUAGUAGUAGUAGCAGUAGUAGUAUAAGCAGCAGCAGCAUUAGUAGUAAUAGUAGUAGUAGCAGUAAUAGCAGCAGCAUUAGUAGUAAUAAUAGUAGUAGCAGCAGUAGUAGUAUAAGCAGCAGCAGCAGCAUUAGUAGUAAUAGUAGUAGUAGCAGUAGUAGCAGCAGCAGCAUUAGUAGUAAUAGUAGUAGUAGCAGUAGUAGCAGCAGCAGCAUUAGUAGUAGUAGUAGAUGUAGUAUUAGCAGUAGCAGAAGUAGAAAUCACCAAAUCGCCAGUACCUCCAAAUCACUGCACGCUGAUUUUGAUUGAUUGAUUUAGUCCAGCUCACAUCACGUGCCUCCUGUGACACACCUGUACCUGUGGAUUGCAAUCAAUGACCGUGAAUCAUCCACACCAGGUAUCAUUGUCAGGCCUUUGUAAUAUUUAAUAUCAAAUUUUGUAAUAUUUCAUAG